rnacentral:sRNA from 1 species
UUAUGAAUUCCUAAGCUUAAGAGUGGUUUGACUACAGAAGUAAUUGUUCCAUAAAUAAGCUGUGUUUUCUGAGGGGUUUCGUGGUUGGUAUUCUUACUUGAAUGACAACAUGUGUGAUGCAGUCAUGGUGACACAUCCUGACAUUUGCAACACGAUUGGAAGUCCUCAGCAGCAAUUUCCAAAUGACUUUAUGAACAGUCAUUUACUUUCUCUUCUGAUUCUUCAGAAACAGCUGCCUCCCUCUCAGUCAAUACUGUUACUCCUGCUUAGUGAAGAGAAGGACGGAAAAUGAGCGGGAAGUGAAAAGUCGAAUGAUCAGGGUCCACAGAGGCCCCUUACGGAGUGUUAACGUGUCCGUGGCUAACCUCUUUGAACGGGACUUUCCCCUUUCUGGUCCCUAAGACUCCUGAGUAUCUAGCAUGUGUUCCCACAGCAUCACUGUCCUAUAUAUCCCUGCCCCAUUUCUAUCCUCAUAGCUAUUCCAUACCCACUUUGAUUGAGGAUGGUAUCUGAUAAAUGCUUCUUGACCUAGCAAAGUGGUAAAUAAUGUUCCUUGUUUCCGUUUGUAAGUAAAGGAGAAACAUACGUGGGGAAAUGUCAGCAUGAUUUAAAGUGCGAGCAGAAAAGAGAAAUGUGCUUACGAUUAUGUUCGGGGGGGGGGCUUGCUUUCUAUUACACGACCCUUAGGUAAUUACAGACACAGACAGGCGUGCUGUGGAGGUAGCCUUGCUACCUGCUGCCCCAGUAUGUCUACUCUACAAGUAUUAGCUUGCCGAGCCAUUUUCCAAUGUCUAAGCAAGAUGACAAGUACUGAUAUUUUAAAUUAUGUGGUUUGAGGAUUGGUUGGCCAUUGAGUGAAAUAGUGCUAACCUCCUUUUGUUUGUUGAUUUUGUUUUGUUUUGAGACAGUAUCUUCCUCUGUAGCCUAAGCUAGCUUUGAACUCACAACAACCCUGAUGUUUCAACCUCUCCAGUUCCACAAUUACAGAUAUGAACCAUGGUGCCUGGCUGCUAACUUUCUUUUGAUUAAAAACCAUUUUAGGAGACCCUUCUAGCUAUAGCGAGAGUCAUGCUGUGUGGUAAAUGUGAAGAUUACAACCGAAGAAAUCCAAAUCUUUUCAGUAUAAAUCUAUAGGUAUGUCACAGAAGGCACCAGUCCACUUAGCAACGUCAAGCAAAAGAGUGGUCUAGAGGCUGACAUGGCUCUGUCUAUUCUCUUGAUCAGAGAGCUUGUUCUCAGUACCUUGUCAGAGCAAUGGCUGUUUGUACCCAUGGGCUUUGGAGUCAAAAAGGUAUGGAGUUGUAAGUUCUGGAUCCACCCUUUAUCAAUUGUCUAGAUCUUCACAAACUGUCCUCACUUUCACCAACUGUAAAAAAUUAAAUAUAAUAAUAGUUUUAGUGAGAAAUACAGGACAAUGGACACAAAGCCCUUAGUAGGAGGCUCAGCAUGUGGUAGCACCUGUGUUCUUUGGCAUUCUACAAUUAUAUUGUUGCAAUCCUUUCCUAUAUUUUCUCCAAGUAUUUUUAAAAACUUAAUAAUAUAUCAAGGUGUUCCAAAUGCCCUAUUCCUUGUUUUCUCAACUUCACUGAUUCGACAAGUAUUCCCCAAGUAACUAUUAUGCUCUACCUUCUUAAAUCAGAGAGGAAAACAAAGGAAGACAGCAGCCAUGGAGCAUACGCUGCAGAUGAGGGGGACCGCUGACUUCUCUCUACUGAAACCAUAGAGUUGAACUGAAAGCAAAGAGGCCUUGUGGAAGAAGCAUUCAUCAUUUGUGUAUCGCUUUAUAUGCUAGAACAGAAACAUGUGUCCUAUCUACUGGGUUCGUACUCCUCUAGGGUAGAGGUUUGAAUGCUGGUCGCCUUGAGGCAUUCUGUGCCUUGGUCUCACAGGAAGUAAUGAUGAUCAGGGACAACAGACCUGCUGACAUCGUAGCUCCAGUCCUGUCCACUACAAUGAAGAACUGAUUCUGAAUCUGUGCACCUAGAUAAGAAUUUGAAAAGCAUGACUUAUGCCUUGAUUUGAUCAAAUCUGGGUACUCGCACAAAUUCAAGUUAUUGAUCAUAAAAUAUCCAGGGCCUAGUAAUGUGUUAGGGAACUUCCUCAAAGACCAUUUGAUCCUGUGAGGACUUAAUCAAGAUUCCAGGUUAACCUUAACCCUCUGGCAUCCCUACUUCUGAACUUUAACUCCGACAUUUGAGACUCGAUGAUUUCACAACAUAUUUGCUAGACCAAACUGUAAACAUUUGUAUUUUUAUAAUAUAAAAAAAUAAUCCCCAUAAAUUUGAGACGUAAAACUUGGUCAGGUUACCUGAUAAAAAUUAUGUUUGAUUCCCUCAACAAAAAUUGUAAUGUAUAUAGUUAGUUACUAUAUUGUUGAACAAAGAAAGUAAUCAGAAAUACG